UACUAAGCGGAGGAAAAGAAACCAACGGGGAUUCCCAUAGUAACUGCGAGUGAAAGGGGAACAGCCCAGCGCCGAAUCCUGUUGCUGGCAACGGUGGCAGGAACUGUGGCGUGAAGAAGGUGGUUACCGGUGUGGCUUGCUCGCGYAAGUUCUCCUGAGUGAGGCUCCAUCCCAUGGAGGGUGCAAGGCCCGUAUCGUGAGCAGUUGAUGCCGGUGUACAUCUUCGGAGAGUCGCCUUGUUUGUGAGUACAAGGUGAAGUCGGUGGUAAACUCCAUCGAAGGCUAAAUAUGACCACGAGUCCGAUAGCGAACAAGUACCGUGAGGGAAAAUUGAAAAGCACUUUGAAGAGAGAGCGAAACAGUGCGUGAAACCGCUCAGAGGCAAGCAGAUGGGGCCUCGAAGGCAAAGCAGUGAAUUCAGCCGGUAUGGUGCGUGGCUGGUUGGUGUUGAGAUCGCAAGACUCUAGCUGAUUAUGCUCUGCGCACCUGCCGGUGCACUUUYGCUGUUUGUACGUCACCGCCGUUGAGCGAGCAUCCGUCGGGUAUGCGUGUGAAGCCUUAUUCCUUCGGGCGUAGGUGCUUACUGCUAACUUGUACGCGUUUGCGCUUCAACCGGUCAUGUCAGCGUGUGCCAGCUUUAGCGUUGGGUCGGUAUGCUCUGUGGUGCGUUGUGGGAUGACGAGCUUGCUCGGCUCCUCAUCGUGCAAUAGACUCGUUGCCGGCUUUCAACGUGGGCACAUUGUAGAUUCGGUGGCGAGUAGAUGGCUGCCCAUCUAACCC
rnacentral:rRNA from 1 species